rnacentral:rRNA from 1 species
UGACUGGGGUGAAGUCGUAACAAGGUAGCCCUAGGGGAACCUGGGGCUGGAUCACCUCCUUAAACGAAGAU